GGCCAAAGAACUGGUUACUUCUUGUACGUGAGGCAGGACGAUCUGAGCUCCGGCCCGGACGGAGGGCGAGCACUCGGCUCCCUUCAGUUCAGCACAGAGGAGCAGACCUGCUGCUGAGCUGCCGUGCAGCACGAGCUGGGGGAGCGGGAAAUCAUGACCCACAGGCUUGUCUUCAGAGAGCCUGUUGAGGGUGGCAUGUGAUGGGCACCUGAGCACCCAGGACUUUAAGGAAACUACAUCAUCAUUACGAAGACUGGGGAGCAACAGCGUCAUGGGCACCGCUCUGCUCUGCAUGAAGGAGUCCGACAGCUGCCAGCGGGGAGCUUUGGUGGUGCCAAAUCCCCUGGAGAGAGGAGGCUGCAGCCCCAGGCAGCAGGGAGCCCUGGAGGAAGCUGCCUCUGCAGACUCGCGGGAAUGCCAGCUCCGGGUUUCAUUCCUUUGUUCACUGCUGCUUCCCAAGUGCCAGACGGAGCCUGGAACUCAGUGGCUGCUCUAAAGAUACUGUUGAAUGAGUAAAUGAACGGAAUUGCACAGGAGCGAGGCCACAGUUCUACAGCUGAGCUGCCUGUCACGGCCCUCACCCAACCACCACUGCUGGAAAUGUGCAGACAGGGUGUGCCUCUCCCGUUUAAGGGAAAUGUAUUGAGAUAUCAUUCACAUACAUGGCACGUGCUCAGGGAGCCCCCCAGGAUGACAGAGCUCACCCAUCACCCCACAGAACGUCUCUGCCCCAUCCAGGCAGGCCCCAGAGUACACUGGGUCUGGCUUCUUUAGUCAGAGGUGGUUUGAGUGAGUCUAGAGACUUCAUAGAAUCUGGGUCACAGAGCAGGCACCCUUUUCCAUCUGGUGUCUUCCACUCAGCGUAGCGGUCCCGAGAUCCAGCGUGUCUCUGCUAGGAUCAGCGGUUUGCUCCUUGGUGUUGCUGAGGAAAAUUCUACUGCAUGGAACACCACCAUCUAUCCACACUGGAUAGACACCAGAUGAGUGCUUCCGCCUGCUGUGAAUGAAGCUCCUAUGAACAGUCUCAUAUUAGGUAUGAAAGGAAAAUAAAUCAAUCACUAAACAAAGGGGAAAGUCAAGCUGGGAGCUGCCUCCCAUCCUAUUCCUAAAUAAGAUAGCUACAAAGAUAAAAACGCUGUUCCUCCCUCACAAUUUGCUCACAAGGAACUUCCUUGUGGAACAAGGACAGACAGAACUCAAUCAUCCCUCCGCUCACAUGAGACAAACACAGAUCGGAAUGCUUCCUCCGCCCUGUUGUUUCACCCAGCCAGACUAAGGCAUACGUAACUAUUCCAGUAAAUUGUGCAUUCGGUGAAAGGCUAAUCAGAAACUUAAAAGAAUGCAGCCAUUUGUCUCUUAUCUACCUACAACCUGGAAGCCCCCUGCGCGCUUUGACUUGUCCUGUCUUUCCAGAUAGAACCAAUGUACAUCAUACAUAUAAUGAUUGAUGUCUCAUGUCUCCCUAAAAUGUAUAAAACCAAGCUGUUCCCCGACCACCAUCACCAGGACCUCCUGAGGCUGUGUCACGGCACGUCCUCAACCUUGGCAAAAUAACUUUCUAAAUUUAUUGAGACUUGUCUCAGAUACUUUUUGGUUUACAAAGGUGUUUGUGGACAUGUAUAUUCAUUUCUCAUAGAUAAGUACCUAGAAGUUGAAUUGCUUAGACAUGAGUAAAUGUAUGUUUAACUUUUUCAGAAACUCCCGAACAUAUUUCCAAACUAUACCGUUUUACACUCUGUCAGCAGAAUUUAAAAGUUUCCACUGAACCACAUCCUUGUCAACGUUUGGUAUUGUCAAUAUGUUUAAGUUAUUGAUAUUGUUCUAGUGAAUGUGUAGAGACAUCUCGUUUUGGUUUUAAUUUGCAUUUUCCUAAUGAGGAAUAAUACUGAGAAAUUUUUUCUUUCAUAUUGUCAUAUAUGUGUCUUCUUUCUUAAAGUGCCUAGUCAAAUAUUUUGCUCAUUUUUUAUUGCUUUUUAUUAUAAACUGUGUUUUUUUAAAUAUUAUCUUAACACACGUCUUUUGGCUGAUAUAAUAUUGUAAAUAUUUUCUCCCAUUCUGUGGUCUACUUAUUGUUUCCUAAUGCUGUCUUUUGAAGAGCAAAAUAUUUUUCUCCAUUUAUGGAGACAAGAUGGUCAACUUAGCUAUUCCAAAAUGUUUUUAAAAUUCUAGUUUGUUUUAAAACAACCACAGCAAACUGCAUGGAUUUGUUCCACAUCUUUGAAAGAAAAACAUUAUUUUAUUUAUUUCACAGUGGAAGAUAAGUCAGUAAGGCCCCACUUCGGCAGGUUUUGUUUUCGUUUCCUCAUGCCUCUGCAAUGCUCGGAGUCACCCACGCCUUACUCACUGCGGCUGGAACGAACCCAGACUCCUCACUCCUCCCACAGCCUCUGGCGCAGGGCGCUCCUUGCUUGAAAGAAACGUUUGCGAUUUUUAGUGGAAACGUCCGUGUUUUCUUGGUAACUGGUAAAUGGCUGUAGAUUACUGACACGCGGUCCUUUGUACGUAACAGAAGGCUUUGAGUGUUUCUGUGAGGAUCACCCUGUGAAGAAACGGCUGCAGUGAGAGCAGCCGAGGCGGGACGCAGCCCCGGACGUGGGGUCAGAGAGGAGCCCUUGCUUUGUUAUCCGGAGGGUAGCCACGGUUUUAGCUCACAGUGAUGUCAACUUGAAGCUUCUCUCCACAAGCAGCUGUGACCUCAGCUGCCGUGCAGUCAGCUUCCCCGGCCUCCCUCCCCAGCCUCCCUGGUCUCCCAGGCACAAGGCUGGGCACUGGCUUCAGAGUGGCUGCAAGGGCACGGCCCCCAGGCCUAGGGCUGAUCAGCGUGAACAGUACCCAGCACACUUGCUUCAAAAAGUAAGAAGAUAUAGAACACAAGCUGCUUGUUCUCAUGACUAUAGCACAAACUAUAAAACAAAACAUCUUCCUCCAGAACACGGCAAGCUGGAUGGACAGUGAUCUGGACAAAAAUUUGCUGUAGGUUUUGUAACUGGGGUUCAGUGAGGACCAGGCUCCCCAGAGCAUACAUGUGGAGACAAUUAAGUUGAUCCCAUUUUCCAAGACUCAGAGGAGAUGUAUUUAUAUUAGGAAUAUAAACUUGCUAUUAAUGCAACUUCAGAAUGUCCAGGUCAUCCGUUGGGAAAAAAAAAAGAGUAAGUCUAGGGCUGGUUCGUGCUGUUGCUACAUGGAGGGAAUCCACAUCCAAGCCUGCCGCUCACAUGCUGGGACACAUUGCCUCAGCCUCCAUCUCUGGGAGUCCCACGCUUUCUCUCCUGGGUUGUCCCACUAUUCCUUUUGAAGUCCUCAUGUUAGUGACAGUUCAAUUUUCUCUUCACCUUCAAAAUUGCAGAGAACCUAAUUUCUACUGACCAGUCAAGCUUGUUUCAUUUAUCUUCCAUGUUAACUUCAAUUAAAAUGUUAACCAUCUGGAAUCUUUGGCCUCUUAUGUGACAAAAAUAGGCAUUAAAUUGUAUCAUUUCUUAAAUUCUCUGUUGAAAAGUCCAAAUACGUUACUGAAUAUGAUACAGAUUAGUAAGAAUUUGGGCUCAUUAAAUGUAAGAUAAUUUCAUAGCUUAAGGUAAUUUCACACCCCAAGGGACUUAUAACCUAAACACAAAGCAGAUCACCAACAUUAACUGUCAGCUGUCCACUGGAGAACUAUCUCAGACAAAAAAAUAAAAUUUGGAUUAGCUCUCCAUGGUGCACAAUACUUUCAUGAACCAUCUCUUUUGGGUUGGCAGCUGCAGUGUGUUCUGAGAGUAUGUUAAUGCUACAAUAACAGUAAAAAUAAAAUUAAGUUGGGAACAUACAGAAAAAAAGAAAUUGAUUACAUUAUUCCUAAUGACGACCUGAAUCAAAGUUGGCACUAAAUAAAUUUUUGUCAGAAAGGAGAAAAGAAAUGAGAGAAAUAAAAGAGAGGAGGCAGGAUUUUAUAUUCUGCUCCCUUUUUGGAAAA
rnacentral:lncRNA from 1 species